GGAGGAGGGAGGAGUGUGCGUGCCGGCGAGUGGCGGAGGAAUGGCUUUGUCACAGCUGUGAGCAGCCACCCGCGCUCCCUGCCUUAUCUCCGGGCACAUUCUCGGCGACGGGGGAGCCUGAUGUUUUCUUUUUUCUCCGUAACGCUGGCCCUGGGUUGCUCUGUUACAAGGCUUGGAUGGAAGGGCAGUUAAAUGGAAACGUCUCAGCGGUGGCAGCUAGAAAAAGCCAGGAAAAAUAUGCAUCUAGCUCCCAACCCCCCCUCCCGCCAACAGAAUAUCGUGCCAGGGGAUUGGGACAUCUUCAUUUAUAGGAAAAACAUCCCCAGAUGAACAAUUUGCCACGGUUCCAAACAGAGCGGCCGUAUUUCCAUUCCUUCUCUAGUAUCGAGCUGUAGCAGCAAGCUUAAGCUUAAGCGCUUUACCGUGAGACAACAAGGUUCCUGACCUCGGGAUCUCACAAUCUAGCACCUAUCUCUGCUUGUCAUCCAUGAAUGGGAACCUGCUACCUGGAAAGUCAGUCAGCUUAUGCACCUAAGCUGCUUCUUGGGGGAAUGAGUUAGGCCUCAUGCUGCACAAAACAACGAGGAGGAGGAGGGCUUACAACUUUUAGCCUAGGGCAAUGGUUUCCAAACUUUAACAACCUGUGAACCCCUUUCAAUAAAUGUCAAGUCUUGCGAA